GAGUUUGAUCAUGGUUCAGGACGAACGCUGGCGGCGUGCCUAACACAUGCAAGUCGAGCGGAGGAUGCGAGAUGUUUACAUCGGAGAUCCUUAGCGGCGGACGGGUGAGUAACACGUGGGUAACCUGCCUCAGAGUGGGGGAUAGCCUUUCGAAAGGAAGAUUAAUACCGCAUAAGAUCGUACUGCCACAUGGCAGAGCAAGAAAAGGAGCAAUCCGCUUUGAGAUGGACCCGCGGCGCAUUAGCUAGUUGGUGAGGUAACGGCUCACCAAGGCCACGAUGCGUAGCCGACCUGAGAGGGUGAUCGGCCACAUUGGAACUGAGACACGGUCCAGACUCCUACGGGAGGCAGCAGUGGGGAAUAUUGCACAAUGGGCGAAAGCCUGAUGCAGCAACGCCGCGUGAGUGAUGAAGGCCUUCGGGCCGUAAAGCUCUUUGAUCAGGGAUGAUAAUGACAGUACCUGAAAAACAAGCCACGGCUAACUACGUGCCAGCAGCCGCGGUAAUACGUAGGUGGCGAGCGUUGUCCGGAAUUAUUGGGCGUAAAGGAUGCGUAGGUGGAUAUUUAAGUGGGAUGUGA
rnacentral:rRNA from 1 species